AUUGAACGCUGGCGGCAUGCUUUACACAUGCAAGUCGAACGGUAACAGGUUAAGCUGACGAGUGGCGAACGGGUGAGUAAUGCAUCGGAACGUGCCCGGUCGUGGGGGAUAACGCAGCGAAAGCUGCGCUAAUACCGCAUACGAUCUGAGGAUGAAAGCGGGGGACCAUAAGGCCUCGCGCGAUCGGAGCGGCCGAUGUCAGAUUAGGUAGUUGGUGGGGUAAAGGCUCACCAAGCCGACGAUCUGUAGCUGGUCUGAGAGGACGACCAGCCACACCGGGACUGAGACACGGCCCAGACUCCUACGGGAGGCAGCAGUGGGGAAUUUUGGACAAUGGGCGCAAGCCUGAUCCAGCAAUGCCGCGUGCAGGAAGAAGGCCUUCGGGUUGUAAACUGCUUUUGUACGGAGCGAAAAGGCUCUCUCUAAUACAGGGGGCUCAUGACGGUACCGUAAGAAUAAGCACCGGCUAACUACGUGCCAGCCGCCGCAGUAA
rnacentral:rRNA from 1 species